rnacentral:hammerhead_ribozyme from 1 species
AUCCAGCCGACGAGUCUUAAAUAGGACGAAACGCGUGUCGUGAGU